rnacentral:rRNA from 1 species
UACAGAGGUCCCAAGCGUUGUUCGGAUUCACUGGGCGUAAAGGGUGCGCAGGUGGGCUGUCAAGUUCGAUGUGAAAGCCCCGGGCUUAACCCGGGAAUGGCAUUGAAGACUGGCGGUCUGGAGGGUUGGAGGGGGGACUGGAAUUCUUGGUGUAGCAGUGAAAUGCGUAGAUAUCAAGAGGAACACCAGUGGCGAAGGCGAGUCCCUGGACAACACCUGACACUGAGGCACGAAAGCCGGGGGAGCAAACAGG